rnacentral:rRNA from 1 species
GAUGAACGCUGGCGGCGUGCCUAAUACAUGCAAGUCGAGCGAACAGACGAGGAGCUUGCUCCUCUGACGUUAGCGGCGGACGGGUGAGUAACACGUGGAUCACCUACCUAUAAGACUGGGAUAACUUCGGGAAACCGGAGCUAAUACCGGAUAAUAUAUUGAACCGCAUGGUUCAAUAGUGAAAGACGGUUUUGCUGUCACUUAUAGAUGGAUCCGCGCCGCAUUAGCUAGUUGGUAAGGUAACGGCUUACCAAGGCGACGAUGCGUAGCCGACCUGAGAGGGUGAUCGGCCACACUGGAACGGAGACACGGUCCAGACUACUACGGGAGGCAGCAGUAGGGAAUCUGCCGCAAUGGGCGAAAGCCUGACGGAGCAACGCCGCGUGAGUGAUGAAGGUCUUCGGAUCGUAAAACUCUGUUAUUAGGGAAGAACAAAUGUGUAAGUAACUAUGCACGUCUUGACGGUACCUAAUCAGAAAGCCACGGCUAACUACGUG